rnacentral:antisense_RNA from 1 species
GGAAGGGAGGAAGCGUAGAAGGUGCCGAUGCACUUUUCCUCUCUCCAGACUUCCUGACUGCUCCAAGAAUUUCAUCGAACAAGACUCAAAGAGGCCCAGCUGCUCUGCGUUUUGAUUCUUCUCCCUCUCUCAGUCCACACUGACCUGGGAGGGGCUUCUCAAACACCACAUUUCCUAGCAUGCUGUGAGAAGAGGACUGUGAGCUAAAAAGGGAGAAAAGGCACUCCCUUCCUCAUCAACAAACACCUGACCUGGGUAGACCCUCUGCUUACCAAGAUCCAGUCCACCUUUUGACAUCAGCAUUCAUGCUGCCUCUUUUUACGAACCAAGCCAAAGUGGUCCCUUCCUCUGGAAAUUAUAGGGUACUUAAUGUACCUCAUAUCCAGCUGCGCGCGCGGCCGAUACAGUUGAACUGGACGAGGAUGCUGCUCUCCCACUCGUAGAAGCACUGCAGGUGCAUCCAGGUGCUGCAGGGGCAGUGCUCGUUGUUGCACACCACCUUCUGGUAGUCGUCCUUUUCCAGGUCCACCGGCCUCCCGAAGCUGCAGAUCAGGGGAGUGGCACAUGGGGCUUCUGGGGGAGGAAUAAAGAGAGAACAGAUUUCAGAUUUUUGGAUUAGGGAUACUCAACCUGUACUUGCAACAGUAUGGUAUAAGGUUUUUCUAAGACAUGAAUAUAAUGAAAGGCAGUUCCAGGGUUCCUUUAAAGAUGAAUCACUCCAGUGAACCAGGGAAUAAUAUAAUGAAGCUACUUAACCAACCAGUCCGGUGGAAUCUCUAAAAAGGACCUUCAAAGCCCUUCAUCCCGAGCUUUAGGUUGUCCUGAAUACC